UAGCUCAGCUGGGAGAGCAUCUGCCUUACAAGCAGAGGGUCAGCGGUUCGAUCCCGU
rnacentral:tRNA from 1 species